AGUUGGUAGGGUAACGGCCUACCAAGGCGACGAUCCGUAACUGGUCUGAGAGGAUGAUCAGUCACACUGGAACUGAGACACGGUCCAGACUCCUACGGGAGGCAGCAGUGGGGAAUAUUGGACAAUGGGCGAAAGCCUGAUCCAGCCAUGCCGCGUGUGUGAAGAAGGCCCUCGGGUCGUAAAGCACUUUAAGUUGGGAGGAAGGGCUUACAGCGAAUACCUGUGAGUUUUGACGUUACCGACAGAAUAAGCACCGGCUAACUUCGUGCCAGCAGCCGCGGUAAUACGAAGGGUGCAAGCGUUAAUCGGAAUUACUGGGGCGUAAAGCGCGCGUAGGUGGCUUGAUAAGUUGGAUGUGAAAUCCCCGGGCUCAACCUGGGAACUGCAUCCAAAACUGUCUGGCUAGAGUGCGGUAGAGGGUAGUGGAAUUUCCAGUGUAGCGGUGAAAUGCGUAGAUAUUGGAAGGAACACCAGUGGCGAAGGCGACUACCUGGACUGACACUGACACUGAGGUGCGAAAGCGUGGGGGAGCAAACAGGAUUAGAUACCCUGGUAGUCCACGCCGUAAACGAUGUCAACUAGCCGUUGGGGAUCCUUGAGAUCUUAGUGGCGCAGCUAACGCAUUAAGUUGACCGCCUGGGGAGUACGGCCGCAAGGUUAAAACUCAAAUGAAUUGACGGGGGCCCGCACAAGCGGUGGAGCAUGUGGUUUAAUUCGAAGCAACGCGAAGAACCUUACCUGGCCUUGACAUGCUGAGAACUUUCCAGAGAUGGAUUGGUGCCUUCGGGAACUCAGACACAGGUGCUGCAUGGGCUGUCGUCAGCUCGUGUCGUGAGAUGUUGGGUUAAGUCCCGUAACGAGCGCAACCCUUGUCCUUAGUUACCAGCACGUUAUGGUGGGCACUCUAAGGAGACUGCCGGUGACAAACCGGAGGAAGGUGGGGAUGAACGUCAAGUUCAUCA
rnacentral:rRNA from 1 species